rnacentral:misc_RNA from 1 species
CAGAAGGCGGUGGCAAGGUUAUCGCUUGUGAGCCGGUUGAGCCGGAUGUGGCAGAUGGGAGCUGCAGAACUCGAGCCCUACUGGCCAGCGAUGUUUUUGUCAUGGCUAUAUAUAGUGCUCAAGGUAGGGGGCGGACCGAGGAGGACUUCAGGCAGCUCGGGUUCUCUGCUGGAUUCCCGAGCUUCAGAGCUAUCUAUGUUGAUCCCUACUAUACUGUCCUUGAGUUCAGUAAGUGAGGUCUCACCAUUUUUGGUGAACAAGAAG